UUUUUCCUAAAUAUAAUAAGAGGUUUGCUGUAAAGGCAGAAUAAUCUCCAUAUUCUUUUUAACCAUGUAAUAAAGGCACCGUAAUUCAGAACGGCAGGUUCAGGAUUGCAGGAGCACAAAGUGCGGAGCAAUCCGUAGGUAUCA
rnacentral:sRNA from 1 species